UCAAGUAUUAAGUUUAGACCUAACAAAAUUAUAUAUAAAGUGAUGCAGAAUUUUAACAAUACUAUCUUCAACUGUUGCUUGCUUUUUAUUUCAGAUUGGGAAUGCUUGUCUACAGAUUGUGGGGGAAACUGCACAAAGACAUGUAAUCAAUAGUACUGGUGAACCAUUUCAUUUUGGGCCUUGAUGGUGUACAUGGCAAAUUAUCUUUAAUUGAUGUAAAAGAUGUUUACAUUGCAGACAUGUACGCCGUCACCACUUGGAUGGAUCCACAAGUCAAUCUGCGGCAUUGCUUGCCAGAAAACCUUGGCUCAAAAGACAUCCUGCUCUUUCCAUCUUGGAGCCAGCAAGCAGUUGGGGCUAACCACUAUCUGCUCAGUGCUAUAUUGGUAGCUGAGAGAGAUUUUCUUCCUGGACUCACUUCGGCCCGAUGGUUUUGGUGAUGACCUGUAUCAAAACAUCUUUAGGUUGACACUAAAUAAGUGAAUAAUUCUUAUGGCCUUGUUCUAUGGCCAAGAUUAAGAAGCCUUGUUCUCAGGCUAAAAAAGAAGCCUUGUUCCCAGGCCAAACUAAAAAGCAGCCUUGUUCUCAGGCCAAAAUUUCUUAAGUAAGCCUCGUUCUCAGGCUACCCAUCAUUUCAAUUGCAAAAAUUUGAUGUGUUGAUUAUGUAUAUUCUCUACAAUCACAGACGGGUAGCAGCUUUCAUUGACCCUGGAUCCUGGACAGAAAAAACUGGAAGGGACUUGGAAUUCUUUGCCUAGCAGUCCUCAGGAAAUUGCUGUGGAAUCUUCAUGCUGAUGUAUGCUCUCUGCAUCUGCUCCUCAUCGCCGAUGACGUUCGUAGAGGUGACCUGUUCUGGAAUGUGCCAACAAAAUGCCACUGCCAUUGUAUAUUAUUUAUUUUGAUAGUACUGUAUUUGCCUUAG